rnacentral:rRNA from 1 species
GAUGAACGCUGGCGAGAUGCCUUACACAUGCAAGUCGUACGGGGAUUUUUAAUUCAAGUGGCGGACGGGUGAGUAACACGUAAGAAUUUGCCUUUAGGAGGGGGACAACAACUGGAAACGGUUGCUAAUACCCCAUAUGCUUUCGAGUGAAAUGGAUUUUUCCGCCUAAAGAGAAGCUUGCGGCUGAUUAGCUUGUUGGUGAGGUAAUGGCUCACCAAGGCGACGAUCAGUAUCUGGUUUGAGAGGAUGAUCAGACACACUGGAACUGAGACACGGUCCAGACUCCUACGGGAGGCAGCAGUGGGGAAUUUUCCGCAAUGGGCGAAAGCCUGACGGAGCAAUCUCGCGUGAGGGAAGAAUGCCUAUGGGUUGUAAACCUCUUUUUUCAGGGUAGGAAGUAAAAUGACGUGUACCUGAAGAAUAAGCAUCGGCUAACUCCGUG